UCAAUGAGCAGCUAGCCCAUUUAUGGCAAAUACAGGCUGUUAAGUACAUGUGACAACAAUCUCUCACCUCACACGAAAGCUCUCAGUCUCAUGAGCAGGAGAAGUGUGCGCCGACCUUUCCUGUAGAGAGCCUCUAUGUUGUCGCUCCAGUCCAGUGUGUUUAUGUGGACACCGAGGUACUUAUGCUGAAGGUUGAGGCUCUUUCAAUGUCUGUUCCAUGGAUGUUCAGUACAGGUGAGGUUCUCUGUACUCCUGGCCGUCUCCAUCAGUGAUGAGGCCUACAAUGGCAGAGUCAGAGGAGAAUUUCUUCAUGUGACAGUCAACUGAGAGUGCUGGCGGCCAAGAGCUUCCAUAUUGCACCUGUGGGCUCAGUUCCCGUGGAAAGAAGGUGCUGGAUUAUUACGUCAGCUUGCUUGUCACCACUUUUGCCAUGAGUUAUUUCAUCCGUCCGUUUCUUUCCAGCGUCCUUGUUUUCAGUCCGCAACUUCUCAUAGUACCGCCGUGUUUUUGUUUUGUUUUGUUUUCUCUAUUUUGUGGAAGUUAGAGCCAGUCCAGUGCUUUUUAUGUCAUUCCGUUUGUAUGUAGGAGUAGAAUUUGCUCUCUCUUUUUUUGUGUGUGUGUGCUUCCUCUUUCUACUGUAGGUCUUUAGAACCAGUUUUUUAAAAAUUAUUAUUAUUUUUAUUUUUUUAUUAGUUUUUAUUUUUUUAGAGAGGUACCUCCCUUGCUCUGUGGUUCCGUCCAUGUCCCUUCAUUGUUUUGAGUUGUUGUGUCUGCCUUGGGAUCCACAUUACGGCUGAAGCCGACCUUUACCCUCUGUAUAAUGCAGUGCAGUCCUACACCCAA